GUGAAGAUAUAGAUAGAUAGAUCAAUAAAUGAGUGAGUGAGAAAAUAGAUAAAUAAAUUAAUGAGCGAUCGACUAAAUAGAUAGAUAGAUAAAUAGAUAAAUGAGUGAGUGAGAAAAUAGAUAGAUAGAUAAACAAAUGAGUGAGUGAGAAAAUAGAUAAAUAAAUGAAUGAGCGAGUGAGUAAAUAGUUAGAUAAAUAGAUAAAUAAAUGAGUGAGUGAGAAAAUAGAUAGAUAGAUAGAUAGAUAGAUAAACGAAUGAGCGAGUGAGUAGAUAGAUAGAUAAAUAGAUAAAUAAAUGAGUGAAUAGAUAGAUAGAUAGAUAGAUAGAUAGAUAGAUAAACGAAUGAGCGAGUGAGUAGAUAGAUAGAUAGAUAAAUGAGUGAAUAGAUAAAUGAAUGAGUGAGUGUUAAAAUAGAUAGAUAGAUAGAUAGAUAAAUGAAUGAGCGAGUGAGUAAAUAGAUAGAUAGAUAGAUAAAUGAAUGAGCGAGUGAGUAAAUAGAUAGAUAGAUAGAUAGAUAAACAAAUGAGUGAGUGAGAAAAUAGAUAGAUAGAUAGAUAGAUAAACAAAUGAGUGAGUAAAUGGAUAGAUAGAUAGAUAGAUAGAUAGAUAGAUAGAUAAAUGAGUGAGUGAGAAAAUAGAUGAAUAAAUGAACGAGCGAGUGAGUAGAUAGAUAGAUAAAUAAACGAGCGAGUGAGAAGAUGGAUAGAUAAGUGGAUAAUGAGUGAGUAAAUAAGUGAUCUGAUUUCCCGAGCUCCGGGUCAGCACUGCUGUCUGUGCGUUGUGUUCUCAGUAGCGUUUGUGUAUUUCAGUAAUAAUUUGACGACGCAGUCACUGCAAGCACGCUCUAUACCGUUAACCGUGAUUUACUUUAAUACUCCUCCGUUCCUAUACUUUUGCUCACGUAAAAUCAGACCGGAUGGUCCGAGACAAAAGUUGUUUAUCACAUCUAGAUGUAAACGUGAGGAAAUCCGAUCUACCGUCUCGUGUUCAUCUUUUCAUCCCAAACGACAGAAUUGGCCUUGCUGUUCCAAUACUUUUGGAGAGCACUGUAAAUA
ensembl:lncRNA